rnacentral:tRNA from 1 species
GCGCCUAUAGCUCAGUUGGUAGAGCAACAGCCUUUUAAGCUGAUGGUCGCUGGUUCGAAUCCAGCUGGGCGCA